CAGUAGCCGCGGGAAAACGGAGGGUGCAAGCGUUAAUCGGAAUUACUGGGCGUAAAGCGUGCGUAGGCGGUUUGUUAAGUCUGUUGUGAAAUCCCCGGGCUCAACCUGGGAAUGGCAAUGGAUACUGGCAAGCUAGAGUGUGUCAGAGGAUGGUGGAAUUCCCGGUGUAGCGGUGAAAUGCGUAGAGAUCGGGAGGAACAUCAGUGGCGAAGGCGGCCAUCUGGGACAACACUGACGCUGAGGCACGAAAGCGUGGGGAGCAAACAGGAUUAGAUACCCCCGUAGUCCCUGUCUCUUAUAC
rnacentral:rRNA from 1 species